rnacentral:lncRNA from 1 species
AAAUUUGCCAUUCGUUUUCUGCCAUUCGUUUUGUCCUCUUCGUUUUCGUCUUCCCCUCCUCUUCGUUUUCCUUAUCUGAACAACUGUUACAAUGAUACUUUCUAACCGAAAUGGACAAUUUUUUUUUUCAACCUUCCCUUUCUCUGUUCCAAGAAAGCCACCCAAAACUCCCAACAUAUUUCAUUUUACACCCCCAGAAUGAGUUUACAAACAAACCAUUGUAGUUACAAAGUGCUUUUACCUCUCUUUGUUCUUUGGAUUCUGCUUCAGCUGUACAAAAAGACUGACAAGCUAAUAACACUACAUAAGGGCUUUUUCUCAUGUUCCUUCUAAGAAGAAAGCCAGGAGCGGUAAAAAAAAAAAAAAAAAAAAAAAAAGUAGGGAAGUGAGAAAAUUACAGCUCAAGGGAAGUAAUUAAGUUACAGCUACAAUUAUAACAUUUGACUGUGAUGCUUCUUCUUCUUUUGUAUUCUUUCUUUCUUUCUUUAAUUUUCUUUUUUAACCUGUGGUCCAAACGUCUUCAACUACUUCGAAAAUUUUAAGAUUCGUACCUUAGCUUGUGCAAAUGCCGAAACUUAGUCUUAUGUCAGAAAAUAUUAACAGAUGCUGAAAAAUCGAAGAGGAAGAGCUAAGAAUAG